GGAAAAAAAAAAUUUUUUUUUUUUUUUUUUUUUAAAAACAUGGGGACAGAUGUGCUUCACUGCGCGCCUCUGCGCCCCGGACAAGUUCGGGUGGUUUUGGUCUGCAAGUAGGCAAAGUCCUGCCGCGUCCUGAAGGACAGAGCAGCAGUUAAGUUCGCUUGACACCCUCCGUCUGCCGCUUACGGCCUCACCGGGCAUUAAUCAUGUGGUGCGAAUUUUUACAUUCCCGGUGGUUCCCUCCGGCUGGCUUUAUUUCAGCCAACGCAUGUCAUCCAUUUACCACAAUAAGGCUAGAGGAAAAGACAUUGCUUUGCUUUUAUUAAAAAAAACCAGCCCCACAACUGGCAUGCUUUUCGUCUGAUAACCUUCGCUGGUGCCUUGUGUCAGAGAAGGGAGUUUGAAUGCACUAGUGCUUUUUAAAGCAAGGGGAUGCCAUCUGCCCUCCCUGAGGAAAAACAAGCCAGAGCCAGGCUUCUCCAGCCUUUGGAAAACAGCUGCCUGCAUGUAAACAAGAUCUGCUAUGUGAGGACACAAGAACUGCGCUGCAGGUCAGACAAAGGGUCCACCUGCGCUGGAUGGCAGCACUAGCAGGUGUUCUUUGGAAAGCACAUUUAAACCAGGCCCCUUUCCUCCACAGGCACUGCCUUUGCCUGGCACUCCCCUGGCCUGAGAAGGAGGCCUGCCCCUGCGCACCUCUCAGGUAAGCAGGGAGGAUGAGCUGCCCAAACCUCGGCUCCCAGUUCAGUCAGGCUCCACUGCUGGCUCUCCCCACUGAGAAGCCGUAAGUGAUCUCCAUGCAACAACCCUGGCGGCAGAAACUUGACUGCUUUUGGAUGCAGGUUUGCUCCCACUACGUUGUAUUGCCUGCUCAAGGGGGCACAGCCAGAGACACUGCACGUUUAAUUGAGCAAGGAGUCUCAGAGAGGAGAGCAAGAAGCACCUGAAUAAUCUCCAGCAGUGUACUGGGUAAUCCUUGGAAGCCACAGGUCAUUCUCACCCAAGCAAGUACUGGCGCAAAGUCAGACAGCAACUUUUAAAGUAAUUUAAAAAUUUAAAAAUAAAAGAGCUGUGCAAAAA